rnacentral:tRNA from 1 species
GCAUUGGUAGUACAGUGGUAGAAUUCCUGCCUUCCAUACAGAAGACCAGGGUUCGAUUCCCAGCCAAUGCU